CUCUCUCUCUCUCUCUCUCUCUCUCUCUCUCUCUCUCUCUCUCUCUCUCCAGCGAUCUGGGAUGUCAUCAAUAUAGAGAUUUUAGGGAGGAGGAAGAGAAGUUACCCGAACCACAGCACAAAGUGACUUUAAAGACCGCGUCAGAUUAGGAGUUUCCCCCGGGGCAGAGAGAGACUGCGGGAUGGAUCGGGACGUGUUUGCCGUCGUGGGAAGCCCCCCCCCCCAUCGACUCCACGCCGGAAGCCUUCCCCGAGGAAAGAAUUUCCGACGCCUGCAAAUAAGGGGCAGGUCAACUGAAGCCAGAAAGCCUGGGUGAGUCAAAGAGGAAGACUACCGUCCGUCUUCUUCUGCUCCGUUCGUCCGUCCGCCCGGCUUUCAGUUUGCGGGACAGAGGCCGGAGCCGAAGAAGUUCCGGAGCCGAUACUGGAUAAUACAAGGAGUGGUGAACAGCUUUUUCCUCCUUCAGUAGCAAGCCAAGGUCUUCAAAAUAAGGACAAAAUGCCUUCCGGGUUAGUCAACUCUGCUCCGAAGUAAGUCUCAGGACAUUCCCUUCUAGGAUGUGGCUCUGAUCUUGUGGGGCCUCCAUCUCCAAUGCCAACAGGUCUGUCCUAAUACCUGCAAGUACCAGGAUGAUAAUGUUUGAGAUCCGUGUAUUGUCCCCCUCUCCAUCUUUCCAUAUUAGACCCCGGGAGUAGUCCUGUUGAUUUGGAAGAGAUGGCUCCUGCCUUUUCUUCAUUAGUGGUGUACAAGGUAGGGGCCAGCAUUGGCUGACAAGAAGUCGGGCUUGGCAUGAGACCACCAGAAAUUCCAAACCUUGGAGUUGGGCGGGGUGUAAGGGUGGAGGGGGGGAGAGAGAUAAUAUUUUGUUGGUUGCCAACAACCCCAAAUGGCCACUCCAGAAAAUAUUUCUGGUAGAGUCACCCAACCUUCAUUGCGGUCACAUAGCUAUCUUCAUUUAUUAAUAACAGGCACAACCAUCGUUGAAUGGCGUUGUACAUCUCUCCAGCGAAGCUUUCGACGCUCAGCCACUGACUUCCCCGAUCUCUGGGAGCGCAAUCUCCCACCCCAAACCGACUCUUAGCAAAUUUGCUUGAAAUUUGCUCAUUUCUAUGGAAGCAACUGCUUCCAUACUUACUUACCAAGCAAGUAAUCUCGCCGAUAGAGAAUUUUCGGCUCAGAUUUAAAGAAAGAUCCAUGGAACAAAAUCGCCUAAAACCAUUAACAUUUUGGGGCAUAUCCCGACCUUGGAGAAGACGAAGGGACCCUACUGCCGAAGUCUCUGGGAAAGGGGUGCGCGGGCGCCCACAUUUCUGAAAAGCACAUCAAUGAAUACUGGAAGGAGGGUUUUAAAAUGUGUUAUCUUCAAUGUUGUCCGUCUCCCUGAAAGAUCUAUUUGUGUUUGUGCCUCUGAGUGUGGAUUUGUGCAAAUAAACAAAAGUUUAUAUUUCUGAA